rnacentral:lncRNA from 1 species
UGUGACAAUAAGAAAGUUGAUGAUGUUUAAAAAAAUAUUCCCCAAAUGAAGAAGAAUUCAAUAUUAUGAGCAAUGGAUACACUUCAAUAACAGUCAACAACUACAAAAUAGAAGAUUAGUACGUUACUACUUGACUUUGAAAAUGACUUGAACAAAUAAGACAUUUUCAAACUUAAAUUCCUUUAAUUUUGUCAAUAAAAUAAUAAAUAUAGUAAACUACGUACAGUUUUUACUCGCUGUAAAUUAAGAUUUAUUGUUCCAUAAUUUUUAAUAAAUCCCCUAUAUUUUUAGUUUGAAAAUGUCUAGUUGUAACAGUGAUUAUCCAAAUAGCUUCUCUAUGUGCCACUCCAAAAUGCAGAACCAAGGAUUGAGAUAAUUUCAGGAGAUUGGGUGAAAAUAAUUGUCAAGCAAAACCCACAGCUGAGGCUAUUACCAUUGAACAUACCAACAAGAGUCGCUGCACUAUAUACAAAGGAGUAAUCUCAUCAAGAGUUGAGCAAAGUCCUACAUUUAUUUCUCAUUACUCAUCGUUACUUCACAAACAAAGGUUCUAUCAGCCAGUUCGCCAGGGACGAUGACCAUUCAACCAUUAGGAUCCUGCAGUUUUCUGGUGAAGAAAACGAAAAGAUAGUCAUACAGAAAUAUCAAUGAUGAAAAACCAACGACCUACUACCAGAUUAUUUAAGCUACAAAAGAGGCACAAGAAAAUAGUUAAAAACUGGGACGUAAAAACAAAACUAAGCUUCUUAACACUGGAUUAAUUCUGCUCUAAGAAUCACCAUUUAAAGUUUACUAUUACUUCCUCGUGAAACAAGAAGUUAGACCCCUCCAAAGUUAUGGGUUAAUUUCCUGCCUGCUACACUGGCUACUACUUUCAACGGUGCAAGCCCAAAGUUUAAAUGAUUUCUAGAUUAGCAAGGUUGUUAGCUCUGGCACCAAGCGGACCAGAAGUGAUGUAGGACAAUUUUGGGUGAUGAAUAAUCUGGAAUUUAAUUGGAAAAGUAACGAAAACUAAAACUAGGGUGAUGCUCCGCACACCACUACCCCUCUAGGAUCUUCAACCGCGGAAGAAUGAAUUGAUUGCAAUCAAAUUAGGGCUAAAAAAAAUAAUUCUAUUAAUCAGUAAUUUGGAAUUCACUGUUACAUUAUUUAUAUAUAAAAACACUAGAAAUCCUAUUUGGACUCGGGACUCAGGACUCGAAUUAGACCUAAUAAUGUAAGAUAGCACAAUAACUAAAAACCCAAUAAAACAAUAAUAACCAAUAUUCCAUAUAAAAGAAAAACUAUUAAAUAACAUAAAAAUAAAUAAAUCAUGCACGCCAAAGGCAACACAGGAAUUGAUUUCCAUCAAGAAGGCAAAGAGGCUAGAUAUUAUUAAAAACACAAGGAAAUAGAAAAACAGUUAACAGUUAAUCCAGAUCAAUAAUUAACUUACAGAAUUGGAGAUUAUUGCAUUCAAAAAUCAAAUCUCUAGCAGUCUGAAAUAGAGAGAAAUAUUAGCUUGUCUGAAAAAGAUGUGGAAGAAAAGGAGAAGAAUAGGGGCUGGGAGUUGAUGAAAGAGGGUACAGCCGUACAGGGAGAACUUCACAGAGAGAACAGCAACUUGAGCUCCUUUGUUACAUUGACUCUUACGACACACGAUAUGAAUAGUACGAUAUAGCAGGAAUUUUUUUACAGAAUCACUAGCGUAUCAGAACGUCAGUUGUAUCUUACCACACAGUUUUAACACAUCAAAGUCUUUCUUUUCAUCAGAAGAGGUGCACUUGAUCGAUACAAUAAUACUUAAAAUGUUUUCUAGUAUUUCUGAUCUUUUUCAAAUGACUUUUUGUUUCCAACUUUUUUUCUUUUUUUUCAUAUCUUAUACGUAUAUAAAGACAGAAAGACAUAAAAACAUAAUUUUUGAAUCGUCUUUAUCCCUACACUUUUUCAAUUUUUGGAGCUUCACUUCACAUUAAGUUUACACUUAAAAGUUAAACAAGUUAUUAUUUUCUAUUGUUCCAAAGACAAAAAAACUUUUGAAUCGUCUUUAUCCCUACACUUUUCAAUUUUUGGGGCUUCACUUCACAUUAAGUUUACACUUAAAAGUUAAACAAGUUAUUAUUUUCUAUUGUUCCUUAAUAAAUAUUACAUAAAAACAAUAUUGAUUAUAGGCUCAUUCAGUUAGAUUAAAAUGCAAAAGUGACCCCCUGUACUCUUAUUAGUAUAUUUGGAUAUUGUGCCCCUUUUUGUUGGUCAGUGCAAAACAAACCCUCUAUUAUAAAAAAAUUUGGAUAACAAACCUUUAGGUGACAGCUGGGGUAUUGACUAUCCUCUGUGGCAAUGAUGACAAGUAAGCAAGCCAAACUAAGAAUAAAAAAUUCGCUUCCGUCAAGAUUCAAACUCAAAACCUCAAACUCAACCUGAUAACUUUAAGUAACUGUCCAACCAAGCUACAUGAUGUAAUUGUAAAUAAGACAUCAUAAAUUUUAUUUAUACAAACUUCUCCAUUUAAACUAAAAAAAGAAAAGAUAAAUAAAUAAAUAGGUAAACCCCUUAUGUGCUUGCAUCAUUAGCACUAUCAAAAGUUUUUUAAGUUUAUUACCAGAAAAAGAAAAAGAAAAAAAGAAAAAAAAAGAGUUCUUUUAAGUUGUUGAUGGCAAUCUCUGUCAUCAUGCAAAAUGAAAUCUCACGCCAUAACGUACCAAAACCUAAAACAGUGAUUACCGCAAUAUACGAGUUUCUAAUGAUGAAGAAUUAAAGAUGUACAACAAACACAAAUUUUAGGGAUAAUGAGUCUUGAUGAAUUUCAAUACAAAAAAAUUGAUAAUAAAAAAACAAUAUUUAAUUUUCAAAAAUUAAAUGGAGAAAGGGUUUACCCACUUAUUUAUAUUUCUUUUAUUUGAUUUAAAUGGAUAAGCUUGUAUAAAUAAAAUUUAUUUUGUCUCAUUUACAAUUACAUCAUAUGAUGUAGCUUGGUUGGACAGUUGCUUAAAGUUGGGUAUAAUGAAGUUGGGCAUAAUAGGUUGGGUAUCAUGCAAAAAUUGAUUAUUUUCGUAAGGUUGUUAGCUUUCAUAUUCCUAACCAACCUAUUAUGCGAAUUCAAGAAACCAAAUCAUUAAAAUCAAUCACUGUCAUCUCAAGCCAUAAAGCUAUUCGUUUAUUGAAAAACGGAUGUCAAGCUUUCUUAGCUCAAGUCACGGAUCUAAAUAAAAAUACGUCAAUUUUGAAUGAUAGUUCUAUUGUUAAUAAAUUUUCUGACGUAUUCCCUGAAGAACUUCCUGGCCUACUCCCAGAGCGUAAAAUUGAAUUUUAUAUCGACCUUGAACCCGGUACAAAACCCAUUUCCAAAGGCCCAUAUCGAAUGGCUCCUAUUGAACUUCAGGAGUUAAAGACCCAACUGCAGGAAUUGUCUUUAUUCAUCCUAGCUUGGUUGGACAAUUGCUUACAUCACGGUCUCAUCUCUUUCCAAACAUAUAUCAUUAUACAGCUAAAAUAACAACAUACAUUCUCAAAUCCUAGGUUCUAAUACCUUAUAACCUCAUUCAUUACAAAUAAUGAUAAUUACAUUAUUCUUUACAUCUUACAAGAGUGACUUUCAUCCGCCACUAAGGAUACAUAACAGUUCAUUAAACUAGUCUAUAGUUUAAUUAACCUAUUCUACAUUACAAGUCUUGGCUUGAUCUUCACACUCAUCCAUAUACUGAAUGACACUUCGUCUAAAUACUGGAGAGCUUGAUAUUUACGAGAUCCUUAAGUUCUUUCUAACAUCGUUCGAUGUUUUUAUUUAAAGCAAGUGUUGAGCAUUCAAUUGCUCAGAAAGUCAUAGCAGUUGAAUAAACAACAUUAAGAAUUUAAACAUUCUUUUAGAACUUCAAUAACCGAACAAAGGUUAUGAAGCAGCUUGAAUAAUAGGAAUAAUUUCUGAUUCCUAUCAUUUUAAAACAUUAGUCAUAUUCACUUUAAAAUACUUUCAUUCCUCUACUUUUUUUCAUACACAUCCUAUCUAGCUAAAAUCUUUAGCAGACUUAACAAUAACGGUUAAUGUAUAAACAGAACAUUUCCAUAUUGAACAGUUCAACCACAGAACAGUUCAUAUCAUAGAAACACCGAAGUGUUAAAAUUAUGGCACAAGGCCUCAUACAUUCUACCACCUUGUACAAAUAUCACACAUUUGCACAUAGAUAAAACUUCUCAAGUUCAAUAUCUGAGAAAGUUUAAGAAACUAUCAUUCAUUUAUUUAAAAUAUGAAUGAAGUUAGGAAACUUGCCUUACGCACAGCUACAGCUUACAGUUUAUGUUGAACUGCUCAUCACAAUCCCUAUAUAUCACAUAAAGAAAUAACACAUACACCAAUUAGUCAUAUACUUGACUUACAUAUUGGUUUAAAUUUAACUUUAUUUCUUAGGGUUCGCAUUCUUGCAAUCUAAGUUUACGCGACCAACUUUCUUUAUCGGUUUACGACGUUACGACAUACGGAGAUGUCUUAACUCAUACGAUAAUUAUCUUUGACGAUUGACAUUUUUAUCUUCUUCUUAUAACUUUUCUAGGACUUAACACACAUCGAAUCUCUACUAGUAUUCCAUAUGGCACUCUGAGUGAUUUCCCACAAACAAACUAGUUUUCCGUCUCAUCUACACUGUCUUUCACAACGAGUUAGACCGGUUGCUAGUUUCAUAUAUACCUCCUCUCUCUGAAAGAAUUGUUUAGCCCAGCUCUUAUAUGUCAACCAUUAAAUAUUACGAUUGUACCACAACCUAAACUUAACUUAACUAAUCUGAACCAUUAAAGCUAUAACGUUCGUUAAAUUGAUUUCUCAUUCCUUAUAGCUUUCUAGCAACUAAAUGUCAUACCUAAGGAUUUAUUCCUUAUCGUCUAAGUCAUACAGUCUUUAGUAUGUUAAGAGCGAUCGUUCAAUGCUAAUACUAUGUGUUCAUAGCGUUAAGCAUUUUAUAUUACCUUACUAAUAUCUUAUAAUGUCUGGUUCAUUCGACUCGGAACGCCAUCCAAGUUAUAACUAUUAACUUGGCUUCUUAACAUUAUACGUCUUUAAUUUAGUUUCUACCACCGUUCACAAGUUUAAUCAUUAUUCUUCAUUACCUUACCCGUUUAAUAUUCGCUUACACUCAACUCUCACGUCGGCUAAAGUAUUUAACUCUUACGUUCAUUCUAACAUUCCCUAUUCUAUUCAUACUCCGACUUUCAUUAAUCUUAUGAUCGUUUGUUACAACUUUCAUAAUAAUUUCAUAUCAUACUUACUACCCUCAUCAACUUUUAAGUCAUACAACCAAUGUAUACUUAGAACGUUCGCACGACGUGAAUACGAUUCACGAGAAUCGUUUACCUAUUCUGCGUUCACAUUGUUCAUCUCUUAAUCUCUCAUUCAACCUUUACCUAAGGUUUUAAUCACUCUCAUUCAUAAUCCAUUACAUGAAGACUACGUUCAUCAUCCUUUCUUAAUGUCGAAACCAUACGGUUCGUUGUAUGCUAAGACCGACCGUUCAUCGCAUUUACGCUGCGUUUACAUUCUUUGUCUUUUAAUCCCGUUCAAUCCUUCUGUUCAACCUUUACUAAAGGUUUAAAUCACUUGAUUAAGUGUUACAUUAUAUGAACUAUAUGUUCUUUAUCUUUCCUUACACUUCCCCCAAGAGUUGAGCAGUUAAAAGCUAUUCUCUGGGUUUUACCCUGCACCGGCGCUGCGGCGCCACUUCCUUUGUUAUUUCUGGCGCUGCAUCGCAAGUCUCCAGUAGCUUAGUCCCCGGGCUGGCACUGUGGCGCCGCUUCCCAAGGCAUAACUGGCGCUGCGGCGCCAAUUCUAAAACUAAGAAAAAAUUUCCAAGUCUUAAACAUUUUGAGACGCUUACUUCACAAUCUCAUAACUUAUUCGUUAUAACUCGGAACGAGGUCAUUCCAAAGUCAUCUUCUUACUCUCAUUACGUACUUCAACUUCCUUCGGACAUAAUUUCAUUCUGAAUCCGUUAACAUGCCAUUGGAUUAACUUAUUUUUUGUCAUUCGUUCAUUUUUUACGUUAUCAACGUUCUUCGUUCGUUCGCCCAUAAUUCGGUCAUCCGAACUCGAAAUUCAUUCGUUCUUGAGUCCACGACUCACGUUUUCUUACAUUCUUAGGAAACCCUACACAUUCGGGUUUAUUUACAUACUUUCUACUUUUCGCUCGUCUUUUAUGAAAUUUUCGCCAUAACUUCGUUAUAGCUAAGUUUAAUUCGUUCUUCAUGAACAUUUCUAUCGUUCUUAACCAAGCAAUAAGCAUCUAACUUAUACGCGAUGGUUUUAAACUUGUCCAUCAACAAGUUAUAACUACGAUGGUUUUAAAUUUGUCCAUCAACAACGUUCUUCGUGUUCUUCGCGUUCUUCGUUUUUAAUCGAUACUUUGAUUAUGAUUUUACUUUUUCUUGGAAUUUGGUGUUAUAAAACAUCAUUCCUUACUUAUUUCACCGAAUCGUUCAUAUGAUUCAUUCGGAUCGUUCAAAUUCAUUACGAAACUCAUACCUCUAUAAGAAAGAUUUUAAGAAAUUUAUAAACUAAACUUCUAAUUCUUAUUUUUUUUGUUUUCUCACGAUUUCAACCAUAUGAAAAUCAUUACUAACAUCUUUUACUUCUAUUCUCAUUAAGCUAUGUUUUUAACAUAGGAAACUUAAAUAAAAAUUUUGAUUAGACUAGGUUUUGGAUUACAUUUCUUCUUUAAUCUUCUUCUGUCGGACAAAAUUUGCACACGGACUAGCUUUUCCUCUUUCUUUCUCUCCACAUCCAAAUUCUCUCUCUCUCAAGUGCAGGUGAUUUUUAAAUCACCAACAAAUGAGCUAAGGCUUUCCUUAUAUAGAAAACCAAGACUAGGGGCAAAAUAGUCAUUUCGCCCCCAAAGUUACUAUUCCCCUUCCUUACUAACCUUAUUACUAUUAACGAAGCUUCUCCUGGAAGCUUCGUGGUUCCGUCUUUCGAAAUUCGUUUGACAGUUCGAAAAACUGCAAUUCUCGGAAUCCAAAUAUUUUUGGAUAUUUCAUCUUUCCUUUACAAAUUUACUUUUACGCAUUCUUCGGAACUUCGAAAACCUGAAAAACACUUUUUUAUGAUAAGCCUUUUUCUUCACGUUUUUCCCCUAACAUAGUUAAACGAAUGAAAAGUACAUAAUACUUUUCGGGGUUAAAUGCUUUCUAGGUCACUGUACUAUAGGUCGACUUACAAAUGGGUCACCGAGCUUUUUUUUUCUUAUAGUCAACUCACUGAACUUUAGUUUACUAACACGCCGUUACAAAAACCGUUAAGUCAAGUUUGACUUAACGGAAAUGAUGACAUGGCAGCUGACUUGUCUUUUAUAAAAAAGUCUAUGUGGCAGUUAGGAUGCGACGUGGCAGUGAUUUGGAGGAAAAUUUUUAUGAAAAAAUGGAAAAAAAUAUUUUAAAGUAUAAUAUAAAUUAUAAAAUUAGCCAAAAAACAAGAAAAUAAAUAAAUAAAUAAAAAUAAUUAUUUUUAAUAAAAAUUAAAAACUGCAUUUUUGUAAAAUUUUAUAAAACAACUGCAUUUUUUAAAAAUUUUAUAAAAAAACUGCAUUUUUUAAAAAAAAUUAUAUAUGCAAAUAAUUUUAAAAAAACUGCAUUUUUGAAAACUUUAAUAAAAAAACUGCAUUUUUUAAAAUUUUAUAAAAAAAUGCAUUUUUUAAAAAUUUUAUUAAAAAACAGCAUUUUUUUAAAGACUGCAUUUUAAAAAAAAAUAUAUAUGCAAAUAAUUUUUAAAAAACUGCAUUUUUUAAAAAUUUUAUAAAUAAACUGCAUUUUUUUUAAAAUUUUAUAAAAAAACUGCAUUUUUUAAAAACUGCAUUUUUUUUAAAAUUUUAUAAAAAAACUGCAUUUUUUUAUAAAACUGCAUUUUUUUUAAAAAUCUUAUAUAUGCAAAUAAUUUUAAAAAAAACUUCGUUUUUUUAAAAUUUUAUAAAAAAACUGCAUUUUUUAAAAAAACUGCAUGUUUAAAAAAAAUUUAUAUAUGCAAAUAAUUUUAAAAAAACUGCAUUCUUUUAAAAUUUUAUUAAAAAACUGCAUUUUUUUAAAAUUUUAUAAAAAAACUGCAUUUUAUAAAAAAAGUAAUAAAAAAAUUUCUUUUAUUAAAAAACGCUGUUUUUUUAGAAAACUGCAUUUUUAUUAUUAAAAAAAAACUAUAUUUUUUUAAUUUUUAUUAAAAAAAAAUGUAGUUUUGAUAUUUUUUUUAAUAAAAAUAAACAAAACCAAUUAUUUUUAUUAAAAAUAAUUAUUUUUAUUUAUUUAUUUAUUUUCUUGUUUUUUUGGCUAAUUUUUAUAAUUUAUAUUAUACUGUAAAAUAUUUUUUUCCAUUUUUUCAUAAGAAUUUUCCUCCAAAUCCACAUUUUCACUGCCGCAUCGCAUCCUAAUUGCCACAUAGGCUUUUUUUUAGACAAGUCAGCUGCCACGUCAUUAUUUCCGUUAAGUCAACCUUGACUUAACGGUUUUUGUAACGGCGUGUUAGUAAACUAAAGUUCAGUGAGUUGACUGUAAGAAAAAAAAAGUUCAGUGACCCAUUUGUAAGUCGACCUAUAGUACAGUGACCUAGAAACCUAGAAAACAUUUAACUCAUACUUUUCGUCUUUUUAUUUCGUUCAAUUUUUGCACGUUUUUCGAGAAAAAAAACUUUUAUCGACUUAACUUUUCAUGAUAUAUUAUCAUCAAAUCUUUCGACGGAAUAUCAUUUCGACAUACCGAUCUCUUGGAAAGGAUUAGGUUAUUCAAACCCUAACUCAUAGGGUUUCGUCGAGUGAAUAGUGCCUAUUUUGUCUUUUUCCUCGAAAAUAUUUUUGUUCCCGAAAUUUUUUUAUUUUUGACUUGAAAAUUCUUACUCGUUCGGUCUAGCUCGUAACCAGAAUCCUCCCGUCUUAUAAUCAUCCUAGGUUCUAGAACAAUUAAUAAACACAGCACGUAAUAUUAUUAAUAACUAAUUCUUUAAACUUAAAUUCUGGACAAUCCAAUUUUCCGGGUUGUCACAUUCUUCCCCCUUAUAAAAAUUCCGUCCUCGGAAUUUUUUAAAACCACACCCAUACCCAGAUGCUUUAUUCCUACAACCUUUAGCAUAGGUUUUAUUCCUACUACUCUUUCUUAUAACCAUCAUAUUUUCCAAAGGAUCGUCUGUUGACAUAAUUGUCAUUAGUUAAACCUCAAGUCUAACCAUGCUUUUAAUCUCCCGGGUCAUCACAAUCACCCCUUCUUCACAAAAUUUCGUCAUCAAAAUUUUAGCUUACUACUCUCUCAACUUCUCUUUGAAGAAGUUCUUAUCUUUGAAACAUCCCUUAAUCUUCAUAACUUAAAAAUUGUGAAGUAUAACGAAUAAAUAAGAAUAUAAAGAUUCCUUUAAAACAUUUGACACUAUUGCUGAGGGGUCUUAUAGACUAUGAUCACUUACAAGGUUUUACGAUAUUUCAUCGUGAACCAUUCUUACUUACCUAGUACGUUUACAAUCACAAAGAAGGUAAACCACCUUUUCCGGUAAAUUAGGUGAUAAACCUAUCCCCAUAUCUCGGGGUUUGUUCUCCUCAGACUUAUUCAUCAGAUUCCGCACCAAAGCAAUUUGGUUUGGCACAACUUCUCAAAGAAAGCUCGAUUUUCUUAUAACAUGAUAUACCAUUUGUCUAGCCAAAUCAAAUAGCUUAGACCAUACCAAUAAAUUGGACAUCAACUUGAAACAUUCGUCUAGUCAAAUCAAUUGGACAUCGACUACUCUUUAAAUUCUUUCACAAUACUUCAAAACGUUUUAUGACGUCAUGAUACCGUAUUUUUCACAGUACAUUGAGAACUUCGUCAUACUACAUCCUACCAUAGUUGGUUGAUGAUACUAUGAUCACAUCCAACACUAGGUUUAAUGCAUUGAUAACUCCAUCUUUUUACCAUCUUUGCAUCAAAUGCACUGAUGAUAUAAAUUCAUUUUGAUACUUCAAAUCAAUUUCUGUCUAGCCAAAACAAUUAGCACAGACAUAUAAAGAAUAGUUCUUUUAAAAUCCAUUGGUUCCAAAAGUUGAACCAAUUCAUUUCUUUUCAAAACGCACAUAUAAGCACGAUUUCAAUAAACUUCAAAAUCUAGCACAGCUAUGACUUGAAAUAUCCUUUUUCUCCAUCUCCCUUCAUUGUCUUACUUGUAACAAUACUUAAUCUUCUCUAGCACCUCCAAUGCUAAGUCUACUGAAAAUAACUUAUUUUCAGUCUAAACAUUCUUAUACCUUAGUAUAGUCCGUCAACUUACCACACUUUGUGUUUAGGAACUUUCCACAACCAUGUGUGUUUAAGAACUUAUCUUCGCAAUAUAUAAUCCAAGAACAAAUCAAAGACUAUCCAUACGCUCUGAGCUCAGAAACAUAGCAUAUAACUAUGAAUCACAAACUUUUCAUAAGUAUGAGUUUCAAAAACUCACACCUAUCUUAUCAUUCUCUACCUAUCAAGUAUAUACAUGAGAAAAGAUUCACCUUCUCGCCAUAUACGUAUUGAUAGCGCGACAUUACUAUUUCAAUGACUAUCACUGUAAUAAACUGAGUGGUUGUUACCCCAAAGCAGACCUAGCAAACGGGCGAGCCGGGCCAAAAUGGCCCGGGUUAUGAUGGGCUUAUAUUGUGAGACUCGUGGCCCGAGUUAGGCCGGGUCAUCCAGCGGGUUUCUUCCUUUAUUUUUUUUUGCAAAAUCUUGCUACACCAGUUCAAUGACGCAUUUGUAAAUCGAAUAAACUAUAAAGAAUAAAGAGAAUAUAAAAAAUUCAUAACCUCCGAGACAUCCUUUAGGGGGGUUUGUUCAUUGGAGAAUUAAGUUUGAAAACUUUUCUCUCCAUAUAAAUUCAAAGCUGCUUUUCACAAAAGUAGUUAUGUAUAAAUGAGAUUCGGUUAUGCAAGUUGUAAAACUCUGGAGUUUUCUCUCUCUCUCUGUCUACCAUAACAAAAUUAUGAAAUACGGCAAACCUAGCCUAGCCUAGUUAUUAUCUACCCGACUUGCAUUGAUUUAUCAGACCUCCCAAAAUUUAGCCAUCUACACCUAAUUAUAUUAAGAGGAGAACAUUUCGCAUACAACUUUAAGAUAUUGUUUCUUGUCUUUUUAUUUAAGAUAUUGUUUUUUAAGAAUGGAGGGGCCCAAGUUAAAAUCAGAUGGCAGGAAAUGCUUGUAAUAACAACCAAUCAUCAGGGAGGGGUUCACUCACUAUCUUCUACUCCUCUGUUAUGUUAUCCAUAUUUCAUGGUUUCCCUACCGGCUUGAAAAAGAUUAGAUUCACCACCAUUACCAAUUCCGAAUUCCAUUUUUAACGGCUGAGUCCUACUUCAAAUUCUUUGAUUCUUGAGAAAAUGGAUGGAGGCGAGUCUAAUAACAGAAACAGAUUUGGGUCGGUAAAAGCAGUUUUGAAUUUAUAUGGAGAGAAAAGUUUUCAAACUUAUUCUCCGAUGAACAAACCCCCCUAAAGGAUGAUGUCUCGGAGGUGAUGAAUUUUUUAUCUUCCCUUUAUUCUUUACAAUUUAACAGUUGUUGUAGCUCAGUUGGUUUGAACUCUUAUUUAUUACUUACAAGUCUUGUGUUCAAGCCUCAUAAUCCACAAGUAGCAACAUUUUGUUUUAAAAAAAAUAAGUCGCGGGCCACAGGCUGGGCCAAAAAAGGGCCGGGCCAAAAUGGCCCACAUUUUCCUGGGAUGAAAUAUUGCGGCCCAUGACCCAUGUUUCUACGGGCGAGGCGGGGCGGGGCGGGGGCCUGGGCCUGGGCCUAAAUUGUCAGGUCUACCCCAAAGCACAAACUCCUGCCCAUAACAAAAGGUCGUACAACUCAACUAUCACACGAGUCCUCAAUCGAAAUCUUAUAACUUCUAUCUUUCUCUUACUUAAUACGAAUUUCUUUAAUUCGUACGCUAUCCUGCACAACUCUUCUGAGUUCUCCUUCCCGUACUACUUUAUAGUACCAUUCAUUUAUAGCAUUAGCUAUAAAUCAUCCAUCGUUUAACAGAACAUCUGUUAUUACGAUUCAAUAUGAUCACGUGGUGAUCUUCUUCCUUAAUCGUUUAACUCAACAAUCUUCUUAUCCUUCUCUCUACGAUUAUAUACGAUUAUAAUCUUAGGUACUCAUACCUAAGGUUUAUAACCUAUCAGCUCUGAUACCACUCUGUGAACGCCCUGAAAUCCAGUCUAUUUGGACACCCAAAUUCCGUACAUCACGGUCCCAUUCUUUCCGAACAUAUAUCAUUAUACAGCUAAAUAUAACAACAUACAUUCUCAAAUCCCAGGUUCUAAUAUCUUAUAACCUCAUUCAUUACAAAUAAUAAUAAUUACAUUAUUCUUUACAUCUUACAAGAGCGGCUUUCAUCCGCCACCAAGGAUACAUAACAGUUCAUUAAACUAGUCUAUAGUUUAAUUAACCUAUUCUACAUUACAAGUCUUGGCUUGAUCUUCACGCUCAUCCAUAUACUGAAUUGCACUUCGUCUGAAAACCGAUGAGCUUGAUCUUUACGAGAUCCUUAAGUUCUUUCUAACAUUGUUCGCUGAAAAUGUUUUUAUUUAAAACAAGUGUGAGCAUUCAAUUGCUCGGCAAGUCAUAGCAGUUGAAUAAACAACAUUAAGAAUUUAAACAUUCCUUUAGAACUUCAAUAACCGAAUAAAGGUUAUGAAGCAGCUUGAAUAAUAGGAAUAAUUUCUGAAUCCUAUCAUUUUAAAACAUUAGUCACAUUCAUUUUGAAAUACUUUCAUUCUUCUACCUUUUUCAUACACAUCAUGUCUAGCUAGAAUCUUUAGCACAGACUUAACAAUAACGGUUCAUGUAUAAACAGAACAUUUUCAUAUUGAACAGUUCAACCACAGAACAAUUCAUAUCAUAGAAACACCGAAGUGUUAAAAUUAUGGCACAAGGCCUCGUACAUUCUACCACCUUGUACAAAUAUCACAAAUUUGCAAAUAGAUAAAACUUCUCAAGUUCAACAUCAGAGAAAGUUUAAGAAACUAGCAUUCAUUUAAAAUAUGAAUGAAAUUAGAAAACUUGCCUUACGCACAGCUACAGCUUACAGUUUACGCUGAACUGCUCAUCACAAUCCCUAUAUAUCACAUAAAGAAAUAACACAUACACCAAUUAGUCAUAUACUUGACUUACAUAUUGGUUUAAACUUAACUUUAUUUCUUAAGGUUCACGUUCUGACAAUCUAAGUUUACGCGACCAACUUUCUUUACCGGUUUACUUCUUUACGACAUACGGAGAUGUCUUAACUCAUACGAUCAUCAUCUUUGAUGAUUUACAUUCUUAUCUUCUUCUCUAGGACUUAGCACACAUUGAAUCUCUACUAGUAUUCCAUAUGGCACUCUGAGUGGUUUCCCACAAACAAACAACAAACUAGUUUCCCGUCUCAUCUACAUUGCCUUUCACAGCGAGUUAGAUCGGUUGCUAGUUUCGCAUAUACCUCCGCUCUCUAAAGAAAUUGUUUAGCCCAGCUCCCAUAUGUCAACCAUUAAAGCUAUAACAUUCGUUAAGUUGAUUUCCCAUUCCUUAUGGCUUUUCUGGCAACUAAAUGUCAUACCUCAGGAUUUAUUUCUUAUAGUCUAAAGUCGUACAUUCUUUAGUAUGUUAAGAGCAAUAAUUCAAUGCUAAUACUAUGUGUUCAUAACGUUAAGCAUUUUAUAUUACCUUGUUAAUAUCUUAUAACGUCCGGUUCAUUCGACUCGGAACGCCAUCUAAGUUAUAAGUAUUAACUCGGCUUCUUAACGUUAUACGUCCUUUAGUUUUUUCACCGUUCACAGGUUUAAUCAUUAUUCUUCAUUACCUUACGAUCAAACCAUACACGGUGUGUAGGUUCUGCCCGUUUAAAAUUCACGUACACUCAACUCUCACGUAGGCUAAAGUGUUCAACUCUUACGUUCAUUCUAACAUUCCAUAUCUGAUACUCGGACUUUCAUUAAUCUUAUGAUCGUUCGUUACGGCUUUCAUGAUAAUUCCAUAUCUUACUACCCUCAUCAACGUUUAAGUCAUACAACCAAUGUAUACUUAGAACGUUCCCACAACGCGAAUACGAUUCACGAAGAUCGUUUACCUAUUCUGCAUUCACAUUGUUCAUCUCUUAAUCUCUCAUUCAACUUUUACCUAAGGUUUUAAUCACUCUCAUUCGUAAUCCAUUACAUGAACACUACAUUCAUCAUCCUUUCUUAAUGUCAAAACCAUACGGUUCGUUGUAUGCUAAGACCGACUGUUCAUCACAUUUACGCUGCGUUUACAUUCUUUGUAAUCUCGUUCAAAACUUCCGUUCAACCUUUACUAAAGGUUUAAAUCACUUGAUUAAAUGUUACAUUAUAUGAACUAUAUGUUCUUUAUCUUUCCUUACACUUACCCAAGAAUUGAGCUCUUCUCUGGGUUUUACCCAGCACCGGCGUUGCGGCGCCACUUCCUUUGUUAUUUCUGGCUCUGCAGUGCAAGUCUCCAGUAGUUUAGUCCUCGGACUGGCGUUGCGGCACCGCUUCCCAAGGCAUAACUGGCGCUGCGGCGCCAAUUCUAAAACUCAAAAAAAAAAAUUAAGUCUUGAACAUGUUUGAGACGCUUACUUCACAAUCUCAUAACUUUUUCGUUAUAACUCGGAACGAGGUCAUUAAAAAGCCAUCUUCUUACUCUCAUUACGUAAUUCAACUUUCUUUGAACAGAAUUUCAUUUUGAAUCCGUUAACAUGCCAUUUGAUUGGCUUAAUUUUCGUCAUUCGUUCGUUUUUUACGUUAUCAACGUUCUUCAUUCGUUCGUCCACAAUUCGGUCAUCCGAACUCGGAAUUCAUUUGUUCUUGAGUCCACAACUCACGUUUUUUAUGUUUUCUUACAUUCUUAGGAAACCCUACACAUUCGGGUUCAUUUACAUACUUUCUACUUUUCAAUCGCCUUUUAUGAAAUUUUCGCCAUAACUUCGUUAUAGCUAAGUUUAAUUCGUUCUUCAUGAACAUUUCUAUCGUUCUUAACCCAGCAAUAAGCAUCUAACUUAUACGCGAUGGUUUUAAACUUGUACAUCAACAAGUUAAAACUACGAUGGUUUUAAAUUUGUCCAUCAACAACGUUCUUCGUGUUCUUCGAGUUCUUGGUUUUUAAUCGAUACUUUGAUUAUGAUUUUACUUUUUCUUGGAAUUUGGUGUUAUAAAACACUAUUCCUUACUUAUUUCACCGAAUCAUUCAUAUGAUUCAUUCGGAUCGUUCAAAUUCAUUACGAAACUCGUACCUCUAUAAGAAAGAUUUUAAGAAAUUUAUAAACUAAACUUUUAAUUCUUAUUUUUUUGUUUUCUCAUGAUUUCAACCAUAUGAAAAUCAUUAUUAACAUCUUGUACUUCUAUUCUCAUUAAGCUAUGUUUUUAACAUAGGAAACUUAAAUAAAAUUUAAAUUAGAUUAGGUUUUGGAUUACCUUUCUUCUUUUAUCUUCUUCCGUUGGACAAAGUUUGCACACGGGCUAGCUUUUCCUCUUUCUUUCUCUCCUCAUCCAAAUUCUCUCUCUCUCAAGUGCUGGUGAUUUUUAAAUCACCAACAAAUGAGCUAAGGCUCUCCUUAUAUAGAAAAUCAAGACUAAGGGCAAAAUCAUUUUGCCCCUAAAGUUACUAUUCCCACCUCCUUACUAACCUCAUUACUAUUCACGAAGCUUCUCCUGGAAGCUUCGUGGUUUUGUCUUUCGAGAUUCGUCCGACAGUUCGAAAAACUGCGAUUCUCGAAAUCCAAAUAUUUUUGGAUAUUUCGUCUUUCCUUUACAGAUUUACUUUUACGCAUUCUUCGAAACUACAAAAAACUGAAAAACACUUUUUUAUAAUAAAUGUUUUCCUUCACGUUUUCCCCUAACGUAGUUAAACGAAUGAAAAGUACAUAACAAUACUUUUCGUCGUUUUUAUUUCGUCCGAUUUCUGCAUGUUUUUCGGAAAAAAAAUUUAUCGAUUUACUCAACUUUUCACGAUAUAUUAUUGUCAAAUCUUCCGACAGAAUGUCAUUUCGACAAACCGAUAUCUCGAAAAGACUUGUAGGUUAUUUAAACCCUAACCCUUAGGGUUUCGUCGGGUGAAUAGUGUAUAUUUCGUCUUUUUUCUCGAAAAUAUUUUUGUUCUCGAAAAUUUUUUAUUUUCGUCUUGGAAUUUCUUACUCGUUCGGUCUAGCUCGUAGCCAGAAUCCUCUUAUCUUAUAAUCAUCCUAGGACCUAGAACGAUUAAUAAACACAUAGCACGUAAUAUUAUUAAUAAAAUUCAUUUUAUUAAUAACUAAUUCGUUAAACUUAAAUUUUGGACCAUCCGAUUUUUCGAGUUGUCACAAUGUUCUCAAGGAUAAGAACACACUCCUGAGUAAUCAAUGGGAAAGAGAAACAGAAAUAAGAAGGGAAAAAAACAGAAAGAGAGAAAAGCACAUUCCAACAGUACAACUUCUGAAAAACAAUUGGAAGAAAUGCAUAAAUAAAUCAAGAAACUUAAAUGUAAUUCUACCACACCCAUAAAAUUCAUCAGAGAUAUGUAGGCUACAAAAUAUAGGUUUAACGCUCCUCAUUUUAGAAUCUCAUUGAAGGAAAAUGCUAAACAGCUAUUUACUACUGCCACUAAAGUCAUACUUUUCUAUAGUUCGACACCACGUGUUGAUAAUAUAAAUGUGCGCGUGGGGAUAAACCGCGUAGGACUGAGCAAGUAACCAAAUUGAAAUCGAAACCGCACCAAAAACUGCACGAACCGCACCAACGGUUUCGGGGUAUGUGGCGGUUUUAAUUUUUGGGAAACUAAAUAAACCUUCUUUCUUGCUUGUUAUCGAAUAUAUGGUCUCCGUUGUUUUAUGUAGCGUAUGUUUUAGUUUUAAAGCAUCAUUCCUUUAUUAUAAACUAAAACUAUUUUACGUGUUUCAUUGUUCUAUGAUUUGAUGGUGAAUUUGACAUGUUUGGCAAAAGGAACUUCGGUUCUAUGCUUGAUAUAAUUCUCAUUGCCGACUCUGUCACUAAGUUAAUUGCUCGAUGUGAGUUCUAUGUUAAAUUAUAUUAAAGGCUUAGAUCUUUUUGUUGUUUCAAUUGAUUUUGGAACCGAAACCGCAUCAAUUCAAACCGCACCGCACAAAUCACAAGCAGUUUCGUGUGCGGUUUUGAAUUUUUCAAACCGCACCUAAGCGGUUUCGGGUGCGGUUUGGACUUCAAACCGCACCAUGCUCACCCCUAUGUGCGGGUGUGGAUAUCCAAGUUACAUAUUCCUAUAAAUUUUGGGAGGAAGGCUAAAAAAAGAAAGAGAGAAAAGCACAUUCCUAUAGUACAACUUUAGAAAAACAAUUGGAAGAAAUGCAUAAAUAAAUCAAGAAACUUAAAUGUAAUUUUACCACACCCAUAAAAUUCAUCAGAGAUAUGUAGGCUACAAAAUAUAGGUUUAACGCUCCACAUUUUAGAAUCUCAUUGAAGGAAAAUGCUAAACAGCUAUUUACUACAGCCACUAAAGUCAAUACUUCUCUAUAGUUCAACAGCACGUGUUGAUAAUAUAAAUGUGCACGUGUGGAUAUCCAAGUUACAAAAUAUGAUAGCAUAACGAAAGAGAUUGAAAACAACAGCAUCAAACGAAAGAAAAACAAUAUUUGUAUGACUUUAAAGUCGUAACAGAAAAUCUGUAAUCAUCCUUUACCUUCUCCGCUUUGUCUUUCUCUGCUUUCUCUUUUUCUGCCUUCAACUUCUGCUUUUCCAGCUUCUCCUUCUCCAUUUUCUUCAUAGAGAAAGAACCAAAUUCAACAAACAAAAAUACUCAACCACCAAUCUAUAGACAGCAGAAACAUAUAAACCCACUUGCAUAUAAUAGUAGCAACCAUAUCAGUAAUCAUACAUAAAUAUAUACACAAAUAUAUACACAGAGAGAGGGAGAAAUAGUAUAUUUCCAUCCCGAAUUAACUACCCAAGAUCAAAAACACAUGGAUUAAGAAAAUUAGACAUCAUCUUUUAAGCCAUGUUAGAUCAACAUUACCCCUCAUUUCUAUUUUAACAUUUCUGAAUUAUAAGGUAAUAAUGAUGGUAAUAAAAGUGAUUCCAAGAUUAUAAAAAAAGAAUGGACUAUGGGCAUUCUGGAACUUCAGAUAAUUGAAAGAUGUCCAACCAAUAUCAGAAAUUGAGAAUGAAGGAGUAUAUAACAGGGUACAUUGCAUUUUACUUCAUUAGGGUUAAGGUGUGGUCACACAUAACCCACCUUCAAGUUUCAGACUUUAAAUAAAAUAAAAAAUUGAAACAAAAUACAACUUUAGGGUUUCAUUUGUUUGCAAAAAUAAUGUGUGGGGCAGGACUAUUUGUAUUAAUUUAUUACCACUUAAGACUAUUUUAUCCCAUGAUUAGUCCAUUAUUUAAUCCUUGGACAAUUUUUGAUUAUUUCUAAGAUUAUUUGAUAUCUCAAAAAGGAUUAUAUGAGGGGAUUGAAUAAUAGCACCUUUUCACUAAUCCCUUAUCAAAUGGCCUUAGAAAUGAUAAAAUAAAUAUAGUGCACAAAAUAAAUAGAGUGCACAGUAUUAAAUAAUGGACUAAUCAUGGGAUAAAUAGUCCUAUCAUACCCAUCAUUUUUGCAAACAAACAUAGCCCGAAGAUAUAAAAUUGCACUCUGCCUCCUAGAGCUGAAAUGGGUUGCGUAGAAACAAAAGAAAAUUUCCACCCAACAAUUAUUUAGGCUUGAGUUUUCUUUUAAAUUAAUUAUCUGCUGUAAACUUAUCCUUGUUAAACAAAAAUGCAGUGAUCUCGUAUUUCUUCAAUACUUCCCUGGCUACAUAUCCGAUCAGGUUUAAUAACAACCCGUAAUUGUUCUGAAUACAGCAAAAUCGUAACAAAGCAAGUACAGAAAAUGUAUCGCAACAAUUCUCAGCAGAAAAUUAGAAAUGAAAACAUUCAGAGCACAAACAUGUACAAAUAUGUUUAUAUAUAUGUACAAAUAUGUGUGUGUAUAUAUAGAGAGAGAGCGUGUGUGUCUAUAGAGAGGGAGAGAGGAGUGAAAAAACCUUGAUGUAGAUGGUUUCAGCAGCACGCUCUUCUUCACUGAGGAUUUUACCUUUGUCAUCGCUAAAGUACCGAAGGCCUGAUAUUGCUGAUCCUCGAUUGCCCUCCAUUGAUCGACGCAGAGAAAUGCGCGAGAGUGAAACGACAACAGAUCUUAUAGCCAUAGCGAAUGUCGAUUGAUGCUAGGGUUUGCAAGCGGUAAUGCCUUGAACUAGUGCUGAUGGAUUUAAUAAAGAACGUAUUGAAACUGUUUGACAUGUGGAUUGAAAGGAAGCAUAG